GCAAGUCGAACGAUGACGGUGGUGCUUGCACCGCCUGAUUAGUGGCGAACGGGUGAGUAACACGUGAGUAACCUGCCCUCCACUUCGGGAUAACCUCGGGAAAUCGUGGCUAAUACCGGAUAUGAGCACUCAUCGCAUGGUGGGUGUUGGAAAGAUUUAUCGGUGGGGGAUGGACUCGCGGCCUAUCAGUUUGUUGGUGAGGUGAUGGCUCACCAAGACGAUGACGGGUAGCCGGCCUGAGAGGGCGACCGGCCACACUGGGACUGAGACACGGCCCAGACUCCUACGGGAGGCAGCAGUGGGGAAUAUUGCACAAUGGGCGAAAGCCUGAUGCAGCGACGCCGCGUGGGGGAUGACGGCCUUCGGGUUGUAAACCCCUUUCAGUAGGGAAGAAGCGAGAGUGACGGUACCUGCAGAAGAAGCGCCGGCUAACUACGUGCCAGCAGCCGCGGUAAUACGUAGGGCGCAAGCGUUGUCCGGAAUUAUUGGGCGUAAAGAGCUUGUAGGUGGCUUGUCGCGUCUGCCGUGAAAACCCGAGGCUCAACCUCGGGCGUGCGGUGGGUACGGGCAGGCUAGAGUGUGGUAGGGGAGACUGGAACUCCUGGUGUAGCGGUGAAAUGCGCAGAUAUCAGGAAGAACACCGAUGGCGAAGGCAGGUCUCUGGGCCAUUACUGACACUGAGAAGCGAAAGCAUGGGUAGCGAACAGGAUUAGAUACCCUGGUAGUCCAUGCCGUAAACGUUGGGCACUAGGUGUGGGGGACAUUCCACGUUUUCCGCGCCGUAGCUAACGCAUUAAGUGCCCCGCCUGGGGAGUACGGCCGCAAGGCUAAAACUCAAAGGAAUUGACGGGGGCCCGCACAAGCGGCGGAGCAUGCUGAUUAAUUCGAUGCAACGCGAAGAACCUUACCAAGGCUUGACAUGCACUGGACGGCUGCAGAGAUGUGGCUUUCUUUGGACUGGUGCACAGGUGGUGCAUGGUUGUCGUCAGCUCGUGUCGUGAGAUGUUGGGUUAAGUCCCGCAACGAGCGCAACCCUCGUUCUAUGUUGCCAGCACGUAAUGGUGGGGACUCAUAGGAGACUGCCGGGGUCAACUCGGAGGAAGGUGGGGACGACGUCAAAUCAUCAUGCCCCUUAUGUCUUGGGCUUCAAGCAUGCUACAAUGGUCGGUACAAUGGGUUGCGAAACUGUGAGGUGGAGCGAAUCCCAAAAAGCCGGCCUCAGUUCGGAUUGGGGUCUGCAA
rnacentral:rRNA from 1 species